rnacentral:rRNA from 1 species
CCUGGCCUUGACAUACUAAGAACUUUCCAGAGAUGGAUUGGUGCCUUCGGGAACUUAGAUACAGGUGCUGCAUGGCUGUCGUCAGCUCGUGUCGUGAGAUGUUGGGUUAACGUCCGCAACGAGCGCAACCCUUUUCCUUAUUUGCCAGCGGGUAAUGCCGGGAACUUUAAGGAUACUGCCAGUGACAAACUGGAGGAAGGCGGGGACGACGUCAAGUCAUCAUGGCCCUUACGGCCAGGGCUACACACGUGCUACAAUGGUCGGUACAAAGGGUUGCUACCUCGCGAGAGGAUGCUAAUCUCAAAAAGCCGAUCGUAGUCCGGAUCGCAGUCUGCAACUCGACUGCGUGAAGUCGGAAUCGCUAGUAAUCGCGGAUCAGAAUGCCGCGGUGAAUACGUUCCCGGGCCUUGUACACACCGCCCGUCACACCAUGGGAGUUUGUUGCACCAGAAGUAGGUAGUCUAACCGCAAGGAGGACGCUUACCACGGUGUGGCCGAUGACUGGGGUGAAGUCGUAACAAGGUAAGCGUAGAUGA